CCUACGGGAGGCAGCAGUGAGGAAUAUUGGUCAAUGGGCGCGAGCCUGAACCAGCCAAGUAGCGUGAAGGAUGACUGCCCUACGGGUUGUAAACUUCUUUUAUAAAGGAAUAAAGUGAGGCACGUGUGCCUUUUUGUAUGGACUUUAUGAAUAAGGCACGGCUAACCCCGUGCCAGCAGCCGCGGUAAUACGGAGGAGCCGAGCGUUAUCCGGAUUUAUUGGGGUUAAAGGGAUGGUAGCUGGGUUGUUAAGUCAGUUGUGAAAGUUUGCGGCUCAACCGUAAAAUUGCAAUUGAUACUGGCAGCCUUGAGUACAGUUGAGGUAGGCGGAAUGCGUGGUGUAGCGGUGAAAUGCAUAGAUAUCACGAAGAACUCCGAUUGCGAAGGCAGCCUACUAAACUGCCACUGACAUUGAUGCUCGAAAGUGUGGGUAUCAAACAGGAUUAGAUACCCUGGUAGUC
rnacentral:rRNA from 1 species